rnacentral:rRNA from 1 species
AUGGGGGCAACCCUGAUCCAGCAAUGCCGCGUGUGUGAAGAAGGCCUUCGGGUUGUAAAGCACUUUUGUCCGGGAAGAAAUCGCACCUGAUAAUACCGGGUGUGGAUGACGGUACCGGAAGAAUAAGGACCGGCUAACUACGUGCCAGCAGCCGCGGUAAUACGUAGGGUCCAAGCGUUAAUCGGAAUUACUGGGCGUAAAGCGUGCGCAGGCGGUUGUGCAAGACCGAUGUGAAAUCCCCGGGCUUAACCUGGGAAUUGCAUUGGUGACUGCACGGCUAGAGUGUGUCAGAGGGGGGUAGAAUUCCACGUGUAGCAGUGAAAUGCGUAGAGAUGUGGAGGAAUACCGAUGGCGAAGGCAGCCCCCUGGGAUAACACUGACGCUCAUGCACGAAAGCGUGGGGAGCAAACAGGAUUAGAUACCCUGGUAGUCCACGCCCUAAACGAUGUCAACUAGUUGUUGGGGAUUCAUUUCCUUAGUAACGUAGCUAACGCGUGAAGUUGACCGCCUGG